GAGACUUCAAAUAUGGAAAGGUGAUAGGUGAGAUAACCCGUGGACGUGUUACAUGUAAUCCAUAAGUCUUCCUGUUACGUGCAAGUCUGAAAGCGUCUGAAAUACGUAAAUAUCACGUGCAGGAAUAUUCCCGCACAAAAGACCGCGUGAACCUGGAUCAGAAUACAGGGCGUACAACCAAACGAGACGUCACAAUCAUUACGUCAUUUUCAUUCAUCCUGAUUGGAUGAUUUCGCCAUGGUUACGCGUUUUUCUUGAACGUGAUUGGUUGGAAAAACCGGUUUUAACUGGUUUUGUGUGGUACGACACAAAUAAGUUUGUUGCGUUCAAACGCAUAGUUCAGUGUUUUGGGGGAUCUAGAAGAGGAUCUUCUCCAUUCACUCGCAAGUUGGUGGCUUUGGACUUCAAGUCGACGCGAAAAGGAGCGGCUAAUGAACCAAGUGAAAUGCUUUGUGAUGCGAUUUAAAUGAGAAUGUGCUGGUUCAUCAGAUGAGCAAUUCUCUUGACGGCAUUUGGUGGUCAUUCCAAGUUAAAGUCAAGCCAGAGAUCUGAAGAUGGAUAGUCUGAGAUGUGUCUUAAUGCGAAAAGGCUUGUAGUAUUAUGAUCAGGAGUACAAAGAAGUUGGAAUGUUAGCUUAAUAGUAGAGCACUCAACCCUUGCAAAUUGGGAUUUGAAACUUUAGAUUUGGUCAGCUCUGUGCUGCAUUUGCUUCAUUAGAAACUGUGGGAGGAAAUACUACUAUACUAUAGAGUAAGAUCAUGUAGUUUGCCAAACGCAUGUGCUACACUUAAGAUUUUAGUGUCUGUGCCUGUCCAGAAGAAAGCUGGGUCAAGUUCUCAAGUAAAAGGCAAGAAAUAAGCUGUUAUCUUUAAAGUAAUUUAAUCUUCCUACUUUACAUUAUUAUUCUAUAUAUCAUUUUAGCUUUUAUAGCUGUAUAUCUCUAUGCAUUUGGGUUUUUUGGGGAGAUGGUAUUUUUUAUUUUUCUUUGAAGAUAGCAAAGACCAAGAGAAAGUUUCCUCUGACAGAAUCAGAACAUCUAAAGUUCAGGUUACAUAAAACCUUCAAUCUCAAAAUCAUAAUUUAUUUCUGUUAAUUAGUAAAUUGUGUAGGCGAUAUGUAUACUUUGCUUGGAAUUUCAGUUUAGGUGUGUACGAGAAAUGUUAAGGAACUGGUAAAUAAGUCAUCCAUAAAAGUCCUGUUAAACCACUUCAUCGAGAAGGUAGAUGAAUUAAGCUGUCAUACUUGAGAUCCAAAUUCUCUACGUAAUUUUUUAUGCAUUCAAAACAUUCAUUUAGUAGAAGGGGUAUGAUAUUNGGGUAGAUCUGGGUUGUAUGUUUUAUUCAUCUUUCAGGAUGAAUGGUAAAUUCUCUUCCGCUGGUUACCAUGGAGUUGCAUAUCUAACAUUUUUUCACGAUUGUGGCGUUGCUCCGAACUUGUUGCCGGCUAAUUUCCAGUUGAGGCUCGAUUGCAUAUCAAGGCUUCCCUUGAGCAUUCGUUCUACUGCGAAGAUUAUCAAUAAUGCCAUGCGAUCUCUAUGUAAAGCAAGUGGUCACUCCAACUCUAAGCCUUCUGGUACAAUUCAUUUCUACAUAUUCAAACAAAGCCAUCUCUCUGGUGGUCCAAACAAAUUGGUUCAGCUGCAGACAUUCGUUCCACCUCAUCAGACAGAAAUUUUCGAAAGGUAACCAUUUGACCUUGAUUUUUUGUCGCAAAAGUGGUCUUUUUGAUUUGCCAGAUUUAGCAAAACUUGUUCACAAGAAAACAUGAUCCAUUUUCAUGAAGCAUUGGUUUUAAGUAUCCAGUCUAAAUUCAAGUUCGUAGUUUUCUAAAAGGAGUUUGGUAAGCUCAUUUUCAUUUUUUGAUGCUAAAGUAGUGUGGCCCAUAAGGCUACUUUGUAGGUAUGUGUUUCUGUUUUUCUUUCCAGCAGUGCAAUCCGUUAAUUGCUAUAAAGUUGGUCAAUUCUAAAUCUGAAACAAGCAUAUUGCAAGAGACAUAAGGCAAGCUCUUCCAUUUCCUUGAAUGAUAAGUGCAGCGAAUAAGGCAAGCAUCUUCUUCAUGAUUGGCAAGUUUUUAUGCAGAGGUAAUGCUGCUCCGUGUUNGUUUAUGAUUCCCAAUCAAGUCUUACAGCUUAUUAAGCAUACUCCAUUCCCAAGUAUCGACAUGGUAGUUCAAUCUUUCUAACCAAAAAUGAAAUUCAGCAAAAGACAAGCCACCAAAAUAAAGUUACUAGUUUCUGCUCGUUCCUUGUUGCGGUAUUUUUGUUUGGUCUAUACUUACAGGACAUGAUUGAGAUGACUUCAUAUCUAGAUACAGACUGAUAAAUUCUGCCUUUUGAGGAAUCACCGAGACUGUACGUAAAUCUGACUUUAUAAAAAUCAAUGACACUCGCUUUUUGUGCACAACGCAUGUUUCCUAUCAGUUGCAUUGACAGCAUUACCAAGAGUCUUAAGAGCCGCAGUUCAAUGAUGAGCGAAAGACAAGGUAAAUUUUGAAGUUUCUUUGCAUAGAAAAUUGGUCUUUUCAAAUUUUUAGCAGAACUGUUUUGGCAAGUACAGUUUUCAAAGUUGGUACGACAAAACGUGGUGUCUAAAAUGCGUUUAUAAUAGCAAGUUUUCCUUCCAUGAAGAGGUUUUCAAAGUAACUUUUCUACCAGAGUUUGGUAAGCUAAAGGAUUUUGCAUAUAAUUAUGUUGGUGACAUUGGCCAUUAUAGUUGUCCGUGGGUAUGUGUUCUAUUUUCCUAUUUGCCAGGUUAUUUGAAGCAUUUGUUUCUGGACUUUAUAAAGUACAAAAGACAAGAAAUUGGACUAAAGAGUAACGAGUGCACUAUGCAGAAAUAUGUAGAAAAGUUCAGAGGGGACUAAAGAAAAGUAGAAAGAGUACGCACAUAACUAGCGAUUUCUCCAAAACAUCGAGUCAGUGAGAGGGUUAACAUACAAGGCAAAAGCAAUGAGUAUAAACACCCAAGAUAGCCAGAUUGAAUCCCUAACUUUGAGCAGAGAGUGCAAAAUCGUAAAGCUAGCUUCAGGGGUGGUCCUUAGCCGUCAAUCCAUGGUAGUUUGAAUGAAGUGUAGCAUUGCCUAAAGCAGAGGUUCCAAGGUAGUCGGUCAUUCAGUAGUUGUUAACAUGUCAGUGGUGGUUGCAUAUUCUACUCAUCUUCGCUAACAGGACUAGCUCGUGUCUGUGACUGUCUGCUGUCCUCGACUCGUAGUCAUCAGUACAGUGAUUGAGUGGAUUCGCUUGAGUGAGUCGGUUGUCCACCGGUAAGCAUACUUGUCCAGCUUUUGUUUCCAUACAAUGCCUUGUUGCCUUCAAUUCAAUCUGCAGUGUGUCAAAGCAUGUGGUGAUUAGGACAAAAAAUUCAUGUUGAGAGUAGGCGAUGGAGUUUGCAAUCCACUUUUGAAAAAGCAGAGUAAAAAGCCAGUUGCACACUACUAAGGAAUUGUUUCUGCCACAGUGCAUGGAAGUUUGGUGAGCUAAAUUUUUAAAAUAUGUUUCUGAACUUGUCGUUUUGACCCUUUGGGUCCAUUUUGUAGGCACAUGUUUUUCCUUUUUUUACAGCAAAUGCAUAUGGGCUUAUCGCAGCAUUGAGGCCAGAAAAUAGUGUCCGUGUGACUUACAUGCUUAGUUCCUCUGAACCGAUCCAUUUAUAAAGGAGAGACAUAGUCAAGGUUAUGAGAGAUUGGUGGCUAAGUUAGAAGCAUGCAGUGCAUCCUCCAGAUGAAAUGAGCAAUAAAGAACUCGGAGAGAGUAGAGAGAUGCAGGUUUUGGCUUUCAAUUACUGAUCAGUCAUUAAGGUGAAAUCAUCUCAUUCCAGUUAAACUGCAGUCUUUCAUUUGCGUUAUUGGCCUAGUUAAUCCUUUUGCAAGGUAACAGGUAAACUUUAAACUUUUACAUAUAAUAUUUAUUUUUGUUUUUGUUUUAAAUGUACUCAUUUUCUGUAGUGCACUAAACCUUAAAUGUUUUAAAAUCAUAACCAUAACUACUAGAACUUCACAUAAGUGUUAGGAUGUCGAUUUUAUUGUGGUGUUACUAUUUAGUUUAAUUUUUCAUUCUAAUUAAUAGCAUACUUAAACAUGCACACAUGUAUCAGUGUUAGUUUGUGGAAGUGAACAUAUUUUUGAGUAGUUUUAGUAUUAACUGUGUUGUUGAAGAUCACAUAGUUUUAAUGUAAACUAUUUUUUUGUGAUAAGAUUUUAUGACCCUCGGGGGUCUUCGUAGGCAUGUUUUCUUUUUUUCUUUUUUAACAGCAAGAGCAUUAUGGCAUUCAUUAAUCUACAUAAGCAUCCAGCAUCUGUAGUGCGAAAAGCAAGAAUCGACUAAAGUAACCUAAACCAUUGUAUGUCCUAACAAAACGGUAGAAAAGUAACACUAAGUAAGAUUGCCAAUAUGCUUCCCUAUUAACUGUUCAUUGCAAGCGAGAGCAGUGGGUAUUGCUAACGAGAAACUCUGUUGAUGUUCCUGUCUGGGUGUAACCAUUUCCUUUGUUCAAGUGUGGCACCAUCGUUCAUUGUUUUGUAGUACUUUGGCUGUUCGUAAUGGGAGCAUGAGCAGUGGUAACCACAUAAAGUUCCAUCCAAGUGUAAGCACAAGUAUAGUUCUUUCGUCCUUCACAAGCAUUGCAUAACACCUAUUGUAUCCUGUAAACCUAAAGUGACGAGGUAGCAACUAGAUUGCAAGUGUAUCGAAUGUACAUUAUUUGUAUCCUGUAAACCUAAAGUGACGAGGUAGCAACUAGAUUGCAAGCGUAUUGAAUGUGCAUCAUUUGUCCGUUUUGUGGUGUAUCUUUAUUUGGUCUUUACUAACAGGACAAGUCUAAAACGACAUGGCCGUCUAAACCUUUGGAUAUAAUAACUGAUGUCUAACAUUUUGGAUCUGCUAUGCGUAUCACUUGUAAGCAUUCUGUUUUAAACUUUCGACUUUAAGUUUGUAUGCAACAUGUUGUUACUAUGCAUUAAAUCUGCAGUUGCCUAAAAGCACAACUAAAGACUAAUUUAAAUCAAACCAUUUCAACAAACGUAUUGAGCAGGUAACCUGUUUUUGACUUCGUGUUUUGUGUGGAAAUUCGUACUAUUCUUCAAAUUAACAGGAAAAAAAGUUCACUGAGUAAUCAAAUCAAGCAAGCCAUUCACUAAAUAAUCACAUCCAGCAUUAACCUUAGUGCCAUUAAAACACUGAAACGUAACAUCCUAAAGGAGUUCGGUAAGACUAUAUUAAUCUUCAAUUAUUGAAUGUAAUAUUGUAGGACCCUUUGGGUCGUUUGUGGUAUAUCUAUUCUAUUGUCUUCACAGCACGUAGAAGUUCCUAAAUCUAAAAUAUUAACGUAACCAGUGGAUCUUCAAGCAUAGUGGUAACUAGAGACGUAAUAACCUUAACAAGAUAGAAUCUUUGCAAGUUAAUAAAGAGAGGAUAAAGUAUGGCCAUGGAUCUACAAUCAGGGGGCUAUUGAAUAUGGUUAUUGAGAGAGUGAUACCAGUAGUAUAUUCCAUACUAGUUUGUUCAUCAUAAGCAACUCGUCUCCCCACAGUAAAGUGAUUGUUAAGAGAAGAAUCAGUAAUGUCUAAACAAGCAAGUAGUGGUAGCCUAGCCUCUUUUACAAGUUAUUGUUUCUACUGUUCCAUUGGUCCCUCUCCCCUAGCGCAAUGUUGGUAGUCCUUUUACGUCUUUACAGAGCAUAGAGCCAAUUCAAGUUUAAAAGCCAUCAAGCUAUGUAUGAGAAAGCAGGAUUUCCGUAAGCAGUAAAUCUAUUUCUACUA
rnacentral:misc_RNA from 1 species